UCUCCGUUGGUGAACCAGCGGAGGGAUCAUUACCGAGUUUACAACUCCCAAACCCCUGUGAACAUACCUAUCGUUGCCUCGGCGGUGCCCGCUCCGGCGGCCCGCCAGAGGACCCCAAACUCUUGUUUUAUACAGUAUCUUCUGAGUAACACGAUUAAAUAAAUCAAAACUUUCAACAACGGAUCUCUUGGUUCUG
rnacentral:misc_RNA from 1 species